ensembl:lncRNA
UGACAUGUUUGGGAUACUUUUCAAUACUUGAGCAACACAAAGGAGCCAUAAACCUGACUUAACCAACCAGUUAAACUGCAUUCACAGGUAAUUUGUAACCUUGUGGUGGAUGCCUUGAGUCAUCAGAUUGAUUCAAAACUGCUGGAGUGCAGGAGGGAAGGCAGCCUAUGAAGUAGCUAACUGAAGUUAUUCGGAAGCCAGGAGCUUAAUUUCAUGCAUAGGACUUAAUAAAUAAGAAGAUGUAGUCAUGAUUUACUGUAAAACCAAAGAACCACUGAAUCAUGAGCCAGCAGAACUAUUUUCCAGAGCUUUAAAUAUUUCAUCUUCUUGCCUGGAUACUGGAUUUUCACAUGAGCCACAGAUCAUUCAGGAAAUAUCUACCUGACUGACUGCGGCCCACUUCAAUCUGCUCUAGUGUGGGGUCCUCCAAGACCUGCAGUGUGAAUAUUUGCUCUGGCAUGGUCCUCUCUAUAGCUUCUCCAGGAUAGCUUCCCCACCAUGGACAUCUCCACAGGCUGCAAAAGAACAUCUGCCCCUGCAACACGUCUUCCACUCCUUCUUCACUGACCUUGGUGUCUGCAGGGUUGUUUCUCAUCUGUGUUUUUUAAUUCCCUCUUCACUGCAUGAAACAUUAUACUCUUUCUUACAUACAUCUUCCUCAAGGUGCUGCCUUCUUGGCUUCUGGGCCUAGUCACACCCUUCAGUGGGGCCAUUGGAGUCCUGCGGCACAGCCCCAGAUUUGCCUUACAAGGGAGUCUUGCAGCCUCUGUCACCAGCACCUGUAGCCUGUACAACUCUAAAACGUCUAGCAUUACUUUAAAAAAAUCUUCCUCUCCUUGGAGUAUCUUGGCCCAAAUAACAUGCAUGGUAAUAUUUUCAUACUGCUUUUUGCCUCUGGUAAUUCUUUGGUUUUACUUAGUUAAGGCAAACAUAUUUAGUGUUUUGAAAUGUCCUUUUAUGACAGGGUAAGUUCCUUUCCUUGUUCUUGCAACACACUCGUUGUUAUUGUACUUAAAAGUGAAAUAAUGGAAAUCCUUAAAUGUGCAACUUGAUAUGUUAUUGUUUAUCUUUAUUAUCUUCUGUUUAUAAUUCCUCAGUUCUCGGCCUACAAUAAAUCAUUUCUAUUGAUCUCACUGUGUUGAAUAAGAUUUCAUGAAAUUUUGAUCCUCACGCUUUAUUAAAAUCCUAAUAUAUCAGCGCUAACCUUUCAUCUUCAUCCACUCAGCAACUUUGUCAAAAAUCUUUUGUCUUCUAGCAAAGCAAAUCCUUGUAUUUCAAGAAUGCUCAUUACCCUACCCUUCAGUUAGAUUUUUGUUUUUGAUGUUCAUUCCAUAUUUUUAGCAGAAGUUUCAUUUUAAGAAACAGCGAUUCCAAAAUAAGUGGGUAGUUUCAUGAGAUGAGGAAUGUGAGAAACAGUACUGGAAAUUCUGGAGACUAUAGCUAGUAAAGUUUGAGAACAAGACUGGUAAACACAGCCAAGAUAGAAAACAGAGAGGGAAAGAGAAGUAAUCAAGCUGAAAGACACAAGACUACAAUUACUGAACACUUCCUUGAUUAAGCUAAAGAAUAGGACAUCAGUUACUUUCGUCAAUGGAAUGGAUGAGAAUUAAAUUCAUUUGGAAAAGAUGAAUAGAAAAGUUGAAGUAGAAGGAUAGAUUAUUCAUGUUUUGCACACAGCUAAUUUCCCAUGAUAAUGCAAUGCCAUCUGUAGGCAGAUAAAAUAGUAUCCUAUAAAAUAAAAGAAAGAAUACAUUUUUACAUUACGAAUAUGCCUAAGGAACUGCUAAAGCAAGCCAGUUGACAGAAAUCCUUGAAGUUGUAUUUAAUAAUAUUUAAUAACAUAUAUCAGGACUUGUGGUUCUAUUCUAUUUUGUUCAAAUAACUCUGCAGUGAAGGUUCUUAUGUGACUUGAAAGAAAUGAGAAAUGGUGACCACUGACAGAAAAACUGAUUGAGAAGAGCAGCUACUAGUCAUUCUUUGGAACUCUCAGAGGGCUAAAUCUAGGAAAAUGUACCAUGGAUACACAAGUAGGGAUUUCAGAGACAGAUUUAAGGGCUACAACACACAGGAGGCACUUUACCUUUAAUGAACACACACAUCAUUAACAACCUGUCAUGUAACAGAUGUAGAGCACACAACAACUACUUAGAGACACUAUUCCAAGGAGAACAAGUCACCAUAUUUUUGGUCCUUUUGAUAUAUGGCUGAAAUUACAAACCUUACAUUCAUUUUAUAUGACAAAUACUGCGUAAUGAUCAUAUCUGUUCUGGGAACAGUGAUAAAGUUCUUGUAGGCGUCAUUCUAUGUCUAUCAGUGUUUUACAUGUAAAAAAUCAGGAAAAUGGUUGAUUUUAAAAAUAUUUUAAAAAUAAAACAAAGAUGUGAGUUAAAGACGACAUACAGUUCAUUUUUUAAUAACUAAAUGUGUAAUGUUGAUGGUUUUUAGUGGUGGGUUUUUUUUGUUGCUGUUGAUUAUUUUUCGUUUGUUUUUUGUAAUGCACUGAAUGUCCCAAAUAUCAAGGGUAAUGGAAACAAUCUUCACAUAAAAUAGAUAACUUGUCUAGUGUCUAUACAACAUAGAUCCCUUGAAAUCCAGACUGAAAUACUCAUUAUCAUAUGCAUCAGCUCUCUUGUACUCACCUAGGAAAGAAAGUCAGUUAAGUACAACAAAUUUUAGUAAACAGAAGAAUUUUAUAGUGAUCAAAUUCAACAUUAUUUCUGAUGCUUAAGAAUAUAGAAGCGCAAAAGCUUUGUGGCAAGUGAAUAUCUUACACCAGAGGGUUCUUUUAUG